AACGAACGCUGGCGGCAGGCUUAACACAUGCAAGUCGAACGCAUGCCUUCGGGCAUGAGUGGCAGACGGGUGAGUAACGCGUGGGAACCUACCCCUUGGUACGGGAUAGCUCCGGGAAACUGGAGAUAAUACCGUAUGUGUCCUGAGGGACAAAGAUUCAUCGCCAAGGGAUGGGCCCGCGUCGGAUUAGCUAGUUGGUGGGGUAACGGCCUACCAAGGCGACGAUCCGUAGCUGGUCUAAGAGGAUGAUCAGCCACAUUGGGACUGAGACACGGCCCAAACUCCUACGGGAGGCAGCAGUGGGGAAUAUUGGACAAUGAGCGCAAGCCUGAUCCAGCCAUGCCGCGUGAGUGAUGAAGGCCCUAGGGUUGUAAAGCUCUUUCACCGGUGACGAUAAUGACGGUAACCGGAGAAGAAGCCCCGGCUAACUUCGUG
rnacentral:rRNA from 1 species